GAGGAGAAAAGACCAAGAGAAACACCAAUGUCUGCAAAGUAAAAUUUCGUUAUUAAAAUAACAGUGAGCCACAAUUUUCUGGCAGUAAUUGGAGGUAUUUGACAGUGGAGCCCGAGAGGGAGAGAUUCAGGCAUUUGGGAACAGGCCAGAGAAGAGAGCAUUUUAAAAAAGAAGUGCUGAAACAAGCUAUUACUGAACGUCUGGGUUUCUGUUUGCCCGAAUUCUCAUUACUUAUUAAGAGACUGCUCUGUCACUUUUUGGAAAGAGGAAAGAAGUGGGAAUAUGAAGAAUAAGAGAGAGAAGAAAAACUUUGAAAGACUCUUUCUGCAACUACACUUUCCUGUUGAAAAGAAUAAUCGCAAAAACACGGGGCAAGUUCAG